UUUUGAAUAACCUAACCCAGAAGAGCUUCCUAAAACAUCAGGUAGUAGCCAACAAAUAAAAUGAAUAUGGUAUCUGGUAUGUUCAAAAUAUAUUGUUUAACAUUUUCCCAUAUUUAUGUUAGAUGAAUGUUUGGCAUCAGACUGGUUGAAUAUUUAAAAAGGAAGGAAUGAUGUUCCUUCACAACGUAAUAUGGAAGACAGAGGAGUACCUUACCCGCAAGUCUUUGGAAAUAUUGCCUUCAGAGGUCAUUCUUGAUGUGAGGGGGACACUGCAGGCUGUCAGGCCUGGUACCAUUAGGCAGUCUAUCGUACACAAAACUCUUUGAUCAGUUCUAAGCCCAACAUUAGCGACUUUCUGAUAUUUUCACUCUCCAUGUGAUUUUCCCUGCUUCUGUAAUUGUGCAUGCAUAAAGUAUGCCUGAAGGCUUUGGAAAGAGAGAUUCUGCAAACUGAAUACUAAUUUUGUGAAUACUGUAAUUUCAUGUCUGCCAUCCAUGUUCAAGCCGGUUGUGGCUUGAGGAGCAGCUGAGGCUUUAUGGAAAACUUUGUAAAACAUUCUAUUUAGAAGCAAUUCUUGUUCUUUGCAUUAUGUGCUCUGGGUAUUUUUCUUCCUUUGUGUUUUAUUUUGAGCGCAUUUGUAUGAAAACAAGAUCUUUGCCACGAUCUCCAGCGCUCUGAGAGAUCAAUGGACACCAGUGGGUCCUGCAGGUGCCUUGCAUAUUCACUCAGGGCUCCUGGGGUCGCUAGAAGCUCCACUUCAGAUCCCGCUUCUGAC
rnacentral:lncRNA from 10 species